GGGUGCGAUCAUACCAGCACUAAUGCACCGGAUCCCAUCAGAACUACUCAGUUAAGCGUGCUUGGGCGAGAGUAGUACUAGGAUGGGUGACCUCCUGGGAAGUCCUCGUGUUGCACCCC
rfam:Corchorus capsularis cultivar CVL-1 contig15105, whole genome shotgun sequence.